rnacentral:lncRNA from 1 species
GCAGAAUUCAUCCCCGAUGAUCAGUCUGGCAUGGAAAAUGCCAUACAGAAUCUUGACACCGGCUGCAAGACGCCCGCCACUCUACCCCUCAGCGUCAUCCUCGUCAUCUUUGGCUCUGAAGUGCAUUUUUCUGAAUUCGCUUCUGCUCAUGGAAGGAUAAGAUGAAGAGGUUGGUGGCAGAUCCUGCAUAAGCUCGACAUUCCCGAAGAAGCGACUCAGACAUGGGCUGGUUGCUGUCAUCAUCUAGAAAGAUGCUGCUGUCCAUCUGAAGCAUGGAUGCCCGCACCUCCUCUGUCCUGGGCACAGGCUCUGCCUGUCGGGCAGAGCUGUCAUCGGGCUCCUGGGCUGCAGCGGCACUGCUGGGUUCUGUGGACAGGCCAUUCUCAGCCUUUACUGAGGGUUCCUCACUCGCAGGCUUGGAGCAGCCCUGAGGAGGCUCUCUGCUCUCUGGUA